rnacentral:sRNA from 1 species
AGUUGUGCGUCAGUGGAGGGUUGUGGAUGAUCAGUGUAUUAAAGUCUGUGUUUGCUUCCUUCAGCAAAAAAAGUUCACCAUCACAAGCAGUGUCACUGGGAAGAAGCACACAUUUGUCACAGAUUCAGCCAAGACCAGUAAAUACUUACUGGACCUCUGCUCAGCCCAGCAUGGGUUUAAUGCACAGAUGGGCUCUGGGCAGCCUUCCCAUGUUUUAUUUGACCAUGAUAAGUUUGUGCAAAUGGCCAAUUUGAGUCCUGCACACCAGGCCCAGUCUAAGCCUCUCAUUUGGAUUCAGAGAUUGUCCUGCUCAGAAAACGAGUUGUUUGCAUCCAGGCUUCAGGAUGCUGCAGGAGGCCUGUUGAGUACAUCAAUGGAUAACUUCAACAUGGACGGCAGCAAGGAGGCUGGAGCAGAAGGCAUCGGGCGCAGCCCCUGCACUGGCCGGGAGCAGCUGAAGAGUGCCUGUGUGAUCCAGAAGCCAAUGACCUGGGACUCUCUCUCUGGGCCACCUGUUCAGAGCAUGCAUGC